AACGAACGCUGGCGGCAUGCCUAACACAUGCAAGUCGAACGAAACCUCCGGGGUUAGUUGCGCUCGGGUGCGUAACGCGUGGGAAUCUGCCCUUUGCUUCCGAAUAAUUCAGGUAAACUUGUGCUAAUACAGGAUGAUGUAUUCGGACCAAAGAUUUGUCGGCAAGGGGUGAGCCCGAGUAGGUUUAGGCUGUUGGUAGGGUAAAAGCCUAUCAAGGAGACGAUCGUUAGCUGGUCUGAGAGGAAGAUCAGCCACACUGGGGCUAAGACACGGCCCAGACUCCUACGCGAGGGGGGAGUGGGGAAUAUUGGACAAUGGGGUCAAGCCUGAUCCAGCAAUGCCGGGUGAGUCAUGAUGUCGGUCGGGAAGUGAAGCUCUUUUACCCGGGAUGAUAAUGACGGUACCUGGAGAAUAAGCACCGGCUAACUCCGUG
rnacentral:rRNA from 1 species